rnacentral:rRNA from 1 species
UUUAAGGUCUAACCUGCCCAAUGAGGAUUUAAAUGGCCGCAGUAUUUUGACUGUGCAAAGGUAGCAUAAUUAUUAGUUUUUUAAUUGAAAGCUUGUAUGAAGGGUUGGACGAGAUAAAAUCUGUCUUUAUUUAAAUUAAAAUAUAAUUUAACUUUUAAGUAAAAAGGCUUAAAUGUUUAUAAAAGACGAGAAGACCCUAUAGAUCUUUAUUUAAUUGAGAUUUUAAUAAUUUAGGAUUAUUUAAAUUUAAAGUUUUAAUUAAAUUUUAUUGGGGUAAUAUAAAGAUUAAAUAAAUUCUUUUUAUUUAUAACAUUGAUUUAUGAAUAUAUGAUCCAUUAAUAUUGAUUAUAAGAUUAAGUUACCUUAGGGAUAACAGCGUAAUUUUUUUGGAGAGCUCAUAUCGAUAAAAAAGUUUGCGACCUCGAUGUUGGAUUAAAAAUUAGCUUGGGUGCAGAAGCUCAAGAUUUUGGUCUGUUCGACCAUUAAAUUUUUACAUGAUCUGAGUUCAGACCGGCGUAAGCCAGGUCGGUUUCUAUCUUUAUUAGGAUAAAAUGUUUUAGUACGAAAGGACCAAACAUUUAAUAUAAUUAUAUUUAUUUUUU